UACGGAGGGUGCGAGCGUUGUCCGGAAUCACUGGGCGUAAAGGGCGCGUAGGUGGCCUGUGGACGUCUGCGGUGAAAGCCCGGCGCUCAACGCCGGGUCGGCCGUGGAUACUCUCGGGCUUGAGCUUACUAGAGGCAGAUGGAAUUCCGGGUGUAGCGGUGGAAUGCGUAGAGAUCCGGAAGAACACCGGUGGCGAAGGCGGUCUGCUGGGGUAAUGCUGACACUGAGGCGCGACAGCGUGGGGAGCAAACAGG
rnacentral:rRNA from 1 species